rnacentral:misc_RNA from 1 species
GAUGAAGAACGCAGCGAAAUGCGAUACUUGGUGUGAAUUGCAGAAUCCCGUGAACCAUCGAGUCUUUGAACGCAAGUUGCGCCCGAAGCCAUCAGGUUGAGGGCACGUCUGCCUGGCCGUCACAUAUCGUUGCCCAAUGCCUAUUGCAGUGCAAUAGGAAUUUCUAGGGCGAAUGAUGGCUUCCCGUGAGCGUUGUUGCCUCGCGGUUGGUUGAAAAUCGAGUCCUUGGUAGGGUGUGCCAUGGUAGAUGGUGGUCGAGUUAGAACGAUACCGAUCAUGUGCAUGCUCCCCAAAAUAUGGCCUCUAUGACCCACACGCGUCUUUUGACGCUCAUGACGAGACCUCAGGUCAGGCGGGGCUACCCGCUGAAUUUAAGCAUAUCAAUAAGCGGAGGA